rnacentral:rRNA from 1 species
UAGUAACGGCGAGUGAAGAGGGAAAAGCUCAAAUUUUGAAUCUGGUGUCUUUGACUCCCGAGUUGUAAUCUAGAGAAGUGUUUUCCGCGUUGGACCGUGUACAAGUUCCCUGGAACGGGGCGUCAUAGAGGGUGAGAAUCCCGUAUAUGCCACGGACUGCCAAUGCUCUGUGAUACACUCUCAACGAGUCGAGUUGUUUGGGAAUGCAGCUCAAAAUGGGUGGUAAAUUCCAUCUAAAGCUAAAUAUUGGCGGGAGACCGAUAGCGAACAAGUACCGUGAGGGAAAGAUGAAAAGCACUUUGGAAAGAGAGUGAAACAGUACGUGAAAUUGUUGAAAGGGAAGCGUUUGAAGUCAGUCACGUCUGUCGGAAUUCAGCCUGGCUUCUGCCUGGUGUACUUUCCGUCCGACGGGUCAGCAUCAAUUUCGACCGAGGGAAAAAGACGUGAGGAAUGUGGCUGUCUUCGGGCAGUGUUAUAGACUCGCGUUGUAUGUCUCGGUUGGGAUUGAGGAACGCAGCGCGCCUAUUGGCCGGGGGUUCGCGCCCCUCGGUACGCGCUUAGGA